UGUGUUCCCACCAAAUGCUAGACUAUUCAAAUACUGAGGCUUGCCCCCAUACUGCUUUCUAUGGACACGGAGCCUUAGUUCCCUCUGUAACCUCUUCUGUCCUUCUCUGUCAUUACAGUCUGGUGGUGCCUCGUGUCCCCGUUGUGCUCAGGGAAAGGCCCUGGAACAGGAGAGGUCUUUUGUUGUGACAGACCUCAGAGCUCAUGUUCUCUCCCUGUUGUGUGUAACUCCUCUGGAUUUGCCCUGAACAUAAGUUUUCUCCGUGAUUCCCCUGUUCUUCAAGCAAGGACAAUUAGGUUGGACAGACAGACAGACCUUGUUUGACUGGGGAAGUGUCCACAGACUUGGUGGAUCUACGUAAGUUUCUCUGCGUGCCUUUGGAAAGCCUGAGUAAGUUCCACAAGCUGGAGUGCCAAGGCAAAGCAGUGUGUUUCCCCUGGGGUUAGAGAUGACCUGAGCCUCUGUUGUGAAACUGGCUGGAAAGAAGCAUGUGGUACGAUGUAACACUGAUGGCAUGGGAUGU